rnacentral:misc_RNA from 1 species
GAUGAAGAACGCAGCGAAAUGCGAUAAGUAAUGUGAAUUGCAGAAUUCAGUGAAUCAUCGAAUCUUUGAACGCACCUUGCGCCCUUUGGCUAUUCCGAAGGGCAUGCCUGUUUGAGUAUCGUGAACACCUCAACUCUCAUGGUUUGCCAUGAUGAGCUUGGACUUUGGGGGUUUUGCUGGCCUUUGGUCCGCUCCUCUCAAACGGAUCAGCUUUCCAGUGUUUGGUGGCGUCACGGGUGUGAUAACUAUCUACGCCUGUGGUUUUCUGCCAGAUAACCUUCAGCGAUGGAGGUUCGCUGGGGCUCAUAAAUGUCUCUCUUCAGUGGAGACAGCUUUUUGGACGUUUGAUCUCAAAUCAGGUAGGACUACCCGCUGAACUUAAGCAUAUCAAUAAGCGGAGGA